rnacentral:misc_RNA from 1 species
GUACACAUGUGCGUAUGCGCGGGUGGCUUUGCCUACGAACACAUCCCACCUUUCUUUACGUAUACCCGCUGACUUGAACCCUCCUCGCACAUCGAGACAGCCCAUAGCACACGGAAGGCGAUAGGGACGCACUCAAACACGCAGACAAAUAUUCGCUCGCCAUCGUGGCUGAGGGCUUGUCUUUGUCCCUCUCCCUAUCCCUUUCCCUGUGCAGGCUUGCGCGUGGUGUCAUUUUUCUUCUCUCCAGCGUGCCAGCGGCGCCUUUGUUUUCGCUGUGGUCUUGAGCGGGCAUACACGCGCCUGUGCGUGCAUGCGUGCGGGAGGCAGUCGUUGCGUGGGUCUUGUUGUUCACGCACCUUCCCUGCGUGCGCCCUCCUCUCUCCUCCGGCAAACUAAUCAAGCAGAGCCACACACACACAUAGUGCAUUUCUCUCUCUGUCUUUUCGUGAGAAGUCAUUGCACCCCCACGGAAAAAAAGAAAAGAAACACCAGAAUAGGGGGAUCGCAUCUGCAUCCAAGCCCCCCUCCCCAUCUGUCCCAAGGUACUGACGUAGUAAACCGCCUCCUAAUCUUUCCAUCACGAAGGCCCCUUCCUCUCUCCUCUCCCCUAUAAGUGCGGCUCCGCACGCUAAGCGAUAAGAGAGGCGUGCGGCAUUGGCCCAAUAGCGGACACAACACACCAUCGAUCCCAAAACGAAAAAAAAAAACACCGGCCAACACGCACGCAGGUGCGCCGAGUUUCUUACCUUUGCCUUUCGAACUUGUGUACGUGCGCGCGUCUGCAGGCGAGUGGCUCAGGAUAGGGAGAUACGGCUCGCCUUUCAUCUCUUUGACGUCCGUUCGCUUCACUCGCUCACAUCGUACAUCCACUGUUUGUGUGUGUGUGUGUGUGUCUGUGUGUGCCGUCACCACAGUCUGUCGUUGCGCCUUGCAUCUUCGACUGGCUCAUAUCCAUCACUGGUCUCCCUCCUCUGGGCGCGCUUGUGUGCGCGUCUGUGUGGGCCAUAUUCUGCUUCUGUAGAAUUUGCCGUUCCGCCACCCGCGUCUCGUUUUGACUGGCUUCUUGUCUGCAGCGCACGUGAGCGAGGGAGGGAAGGGGAUCUUUCUGGUUUCUUGGGCCGAUCGGCUCUAUCUCGUCUUGCGUGUGUCUGUGCCUGCGGGUGACGGGCCUUCCGCGGACGCGUUCAUUGGGUGCCCUGCACUCGUUGUCGCCACGUCAACCUGUGCCCGCCCUCUCUUCUGGAUUUUCACCUCUGGGUCUUGCGACCCACGCCGAUGCGGGCGCCACAUCGGCGUUUGCGUGCGAUGACACACAUGGCCACGCCACUCGAAGCUGCCUCGAGUUCGAGGGGCACGGGGGAGGGCGCAUGCCGCAACACCGAGUCGUUCGAGCGCCUGUCCCUCGUCAUUCUGUUUGUCACGAUGCUCAUCUUUCUCGGCGGCACCUUCUUCAUGACGCACAAGCGCCGCAUUCCACUGCCGUACACGGUGGUGCUGUUUCUGUACGGAAUCGCGGUGGGCGUGGUGGCUCGCUGGCUGUACCCUGACGUCGCGGAGGCUCUCGGCUCCAUCCCGCCUGAGCUGCUCUUCUACAUUUUCCUGCCAGUGCUCAUAUUUGAAGGCAGCUAUGCCAUGAACAUACAUGCUCUGCGCCGCGUCUUUCCACAGGUGGCGCUGCUUGCCACGGUUGGCGUCCUCAUCAACACGGCACUUCUGGCGGUACCGGUGAAGUUGUUCUUCCAGACCUGGUCGUGGUACACGGCACUGCUGCUAGGUUCGCUGCUUUCCGCCACCGACCCUGUCGCGGUUGUCGCGCUGCUGAAGGAGUUGGGAGUGGACAAGUGCAUGACGGCCAUGGUGGACGGCGAGGCCGUCAUGAACGAUGGCACGGCGAUCAUCCUCUUCACUCUUCUUCUCCCUGCUGCGCGCGUCGGCUUCGUGGACAUGUCGCCUGGGGUGAUUGUUGUACGGUGCACCUGGCUGGCGUUGCUGCCCAUCGCACUCGGGCCUCUCUUCGGCUUCCUCCAGUCCUUCUGGUUGCGUCGCACCAGUGACGGCCUCACCAAGGCGUGCAUCACCGUGUCUGUAACGUACGUGUCGUACUACGUCGCCGCGGAGUUGCUGGGCACGAGUGGCGUUCUGACGCUCUUCUUCCAGGGCAUCUUUCUGAGCUACUACUGCCCCUCCCUCUUCCCUGGACGCGAGGGCAACAUCAUCUCCUCCGCGUGGGAGUUCCUGGUCCACCUCGGCAACACGGUGCUCUUCUCCCUCGUCGGCGUCAUCCUGGUGGCGGAUGUGCUGCCCACUGUGAAGCUCUUGGACAUCUUUGUUCUCGUCGCGCUGUACAUCGCCAUGAUGCUGUCGCGCCUUCUGAUGCUGGAGGUGCUCUCGCCGGUGCUGAACAUGUUCUCCUACAAGUUUGAUCAGAAGCGGAUCGCGCUCAUGGUGCACGCCGGGCUGCGCGGCGGCGUCGCUGCCACGCUGGCGAUCGCUGUGAUGCAGGAGGGCCUCGAGGAGGGCGUCGACAUCUUGAAGGUCACGUCCGGGAUCGUGCUGUUGACGUUGCUCGUAAACGCGUCCACGUCGGCCACCGUCGUGGAGCGGCUCGGCUUCAAGACGAAGUCAGAGUACCGCAUCGUAAAAAUGGAAUACGCGAUGGAGCUCAUGCGCAGCUCUCAGGAGCACGCGCUGGAGGGCUUGAAGCGCGACAUCAAGUACCGCAAUGCAAGCUGGAUGCAGGUGGAGAAGUUCGUGCAGCACUACAUCCGCAACCCGUUCCGCAACACGGCUGUGGAGCCAGAGGAGGACGAGGAGAAGAUGGUGAACCGAAUGCUGAUGUCGGCCUUCAAGACAGCGCUGUGGCUGCAGCGGGACAAGGAGGUGAUCACAGAGACGGUCGUCGUGCAAAUGGGCGCGUCCCUUGCCACACUCAUCGAGAGAGGUGAGCUGCUGGAUGUGCAGCAGAUGUACUGGUAUCACCGUCACCGUGGCGCUAGCAGUGGCGAGGAGGAGCGGGCAAUCGUGGCCCGGGUAUCGCCGCCGCGGGGGCCGCGCCAUUCGUCCAACAUGUCGACCCCAAGCAGCCACUACUCGACACAGCAACCGCAGCAGCUUGCCACAACGCAGCCGUGGCGCAUGCGGCCCUCCACCAACGUCACCGUUGAGGGGGAAGCUGUGGCCGUGCCCGAGAGUUUAGAGGAAAUGCAGAACCGCCCCUCGGGUGUCCCAAGCGCGACAGGGGCGAGCCAACCCGUGGGCGGGCCUAGCGUCAGGGCUAGUGGUAGCGACGAACACGGCGGCUUAGCGCUCGAUGUGACGAGCCUGCCAUCGCACUACCUCGGCGGCGACGCGGCUGAUGAGGGCGAGAAGAAGGCGGAGACAAACCGGAUGGUCAACAACCUCAUGCGCCGCCUGCUGCCCGCCUGGGUGGUGCUCGUCGAGCGCUUCAUCUGCAGCCCGGGCUACUUCGCGGCGGCGCACCGUCGUGCGCAGGAGAACGCGUUCGUCGCGCUGCUCGCUGUCGUCAAGUGUCUGAAUGCCAUCUCACCGCUCAAGUUUAAGUUCAUCAGGUCGGAGGCGCAGGCGCGGCGGGUGGAGCGGUGGAUGACGACGCAGAUUGCGGCGGCCAAUCGCGCCAUCCGGUUCUUCUACACCAACUUCCCGGAGGCUACGAACAACGUCGCAAGCAGCCGCGCCGUCGUCUCGGUCGCCAACGCGCUGGAGGAGACGGUGCACAAUCUAAACGCCGAGCACGGCUUCGGGACGCGGGCGACGGAGGAGCUGGAGAAAAUGGUGGCGUGCAUGCGGUCUCACACGCCGUCGACGUGGGAGAACAAUGCGUCGCAGAACGAGAGCAACCUCGUGCUUCGCGCCGUUGCGGCGACGCCCCUCGGCAAGGGGCUACGCAGUUUGGAGAUCAAGGCAAUCAGCUCCAUGGGCCUCGUCCGCAAGUUCCGCGAGGGCGACAUCAUCACGCUGCCCGACAACGCAUUCCUAGUCGUUGUCUUUGGGAGUCUGCGUGCCGUCUACGGACAAUGGACUACGCUCACCGAGCAUGAGCAGAUGGAAAGCUUCGGUGAUACCGUCGGCCUCGAGGCCCUCAUGUUGCCGCAGGAGUUUCGAGUGGACCAGCAGCGGCGCUGGCGCGUCAUCUCGACCGACUCUACAGCGCUGAUCAUUUCGUUUAACAGCAUCAAGCCGUUCCUGACAGAACGUUCCUUGCGCGCGGUCAAGGCGCUGUGGCGCGCGGCCGCCGCGGAGGUGCUGAUGCCCUUCUUAUCGCGUAUCGUGACAGUCCCGGACAACGAGGCGCGCACCAAACGGGAGCACUUGAUGGAGCUCAUCAUGGCUGGCACUCCCCUUAUCGGCCCUCGCGACUGCGAUCUGGCGAGCUGUGAAACCAACUUCCACCUGUACUUCUACCUCCGCGGGUAUGACAAGUCGGGGCUGUUCAAUUGCCACACACCCCCGUGCUACAUCUCCAUCUUCUACGUACAUCAGCUGCGCUGGGUCGACCCUGACGCGGUGCUCUACGCGGUCCCGAUGCGGGUCGGGGAUCGUGGCUACGUGCCGUGGCCCACGACCGCCACGACGGCUGGCGCGUCUGGUGAGGAUGAGCGGGAAGACGAAAGUAGCUUCGAGGAGGCAGAGGAGUUCGAGGGCGUGGGGGCCUCCGCCCGGCGCACUUCACCAUCCCUGUGGACUGCCGUGGGCCGGUCACCGGCUGCCGUCUGUCCGUCGGUGUCUCUGCAGCCGCCCCUGCCUGCGACGAGGUCGCGGUGCCGCGCGGCAGUCGACGAGCUGUUGCCCGUUACUGGGCAGAGCGCGAGUGCGUGGGGCUGCGAGAUGGGGCGAAGUCAUCACAACGAUGCACACGACUCUAUGGAACCGAACUUGGUGCACUCCUCGAUGGACCACAGCGACCGCGGCGGCGGUGCAGGGGCGCUCUUCACGAGGAACAUGGAGCCCGAUGGCGUGACGCCGCCAGCACUCUUCGGCGAGAACAGCGUCGCCACACACGCUGGUGCGACGAACAUCAUCAACAGCGUGCUGCUCGGCUGCGCACCUGAGGACCCCGAUGAGCUGGGCCUGAACGCAUCGAUCAGCGCCUUUGGCGACUUGCUUGACAACGUCGCCUCCCCGACGCCGACUCACACCGGCUGCGACUUGUUUCUACGGUCGCCGUCGGUGUCGGAGCGUCUGGGCCACAGUUCUGCCUCGCACUUCAUCCGCGACACGGACAUCAGCAUCUUCUAUGCGCUCGAGGGCUUUGCGACGCAGGUUCCCUUUGUGAACCAGAUGCUCGUCCACUACGCUUCCUCCAUGGAGCACCUCUGCAUUGCCACGCUGCGCUACCUGCGGUUCCCGACCGACCCUUUUCACGCGCGCCAUGCUCAGUCCACAGGUGAGCAGACGGUGGAGUUCUUGCUGAACUUCUGCGUGGAGCUGUCGAUGCUGAAGCGGACGUGCCGCAUCGUGAGCAAGUGGCACAGCGAGGACACCGAAGUCCUGCACCCGUUUCACGUGAGCAACGACGCGGACUCGGCGUUUCAGGCGCGCGUUUGCGGGUGGGCUCGUCGUCACCGCCUGAACGGCAAGUUUCACUUGAAGACAAUGGUGACGGAGAUGAACCAAUACGCGAACCGGCGCUUCCCCGACUACGUGUCGGUGCUGCGACGGAUGGUGGAGCUGGAGCCGGGGCUGAAAGAGGUGGAGACGGCCGAGGGCAUGAACUCGAUGUGCCGCCGCAUUUUAAAGAGCAGCAAAGGUGUUGCUGUAGAGAUGGAGAGCCUCGAGGAUGCCAUUUAGCGUGGCGGCGGUAGAGGCCAGAGAGGAGGGGGGAAGCGAUGUUUGAGCCGUGGCGAGCGUUCGGCUGCGUGGGCGUCUGCCCUUUGCUGAUGAGGAAACCAAACGGGAAGAGGUGCGACCGCGAGAGAAGCCCUUAAAAGGGAGCAGAGGAACUCAACACGAAACAGCCGCACGGUGAGGUGCGCAUGAAACGCUCGCUUCACGGUGUUUGUUGCGCACCCCUUUGCGUGCGUCGGUGUGGCUGCCUCUCUCCUUCUUCACACGUGCAGCUUGCCAUUUCUUCUCUGCGCAUCGUGAUCGUCGUCCGUCCCUCCUCACUGUUGCUCCUCUCCGCAUGUGCGAAGGCGGAGAGGGGAGAGAGGGGAGGGGUACGCACACACAUUUCCGAUGUGUUAACCUUUCUGUGUGGAUGCAUCUUCUUGGCGUGUCUUUGUUUUUAGUUUGCCUUUGCCAGUUGAGGGCUGUUGCGCCUGCACUUGAUCUAGUUCUGUUCCCCAACGCAAGGAGGAGAGAGAGUGCGUUUGUGUGUACGCAGCUGUGCUGCUGUUGCAGUGAGGUCUGCGCUGUAAUGGCGGAGGAGAGAGGCGAUAGAGAGGGGGAGCGGGGGAGGUGUGCUGAUCAUUAGAAUUCGCGGUGCGCAUGCAUGUGCCGUCGCUUGCCAUACUGCAUUCUCUUUCUCUCGUGGAAAGCAUACUCGCUGUUCUGCCCUCUUCCCCCCGCCUCGCGCGGGCGUGUGCGUGUCCAUGCAGGAGGUGGCUGAUAUCUGUGGGACUGAUCUGGCUGGGGUCGUAACCACAUUCGCAACGGCGAGAGAAAGGAAACGCAGAGCGACGAACGAGAGGAGAACACAGACUUCGAUACUCGGUGGAGGCGAUAAGGCUGGCCUUGCCGCUUCUCCGCCUUCUACCCGCAUUCUCUUCCUCUUUUUGUCUGAGAGCACACUCGAGGAAAACGCCCGCGAGCGAGUUAGAGGAGGGGGCGCGUAGGCGGACAGAGAUGGGUCUGCGGCGGCGGCCGCCGCCGCCGCCAUCGCUCGCCCUUGCUGGCUGCCGCUUCCCUUCUCCCCCUCCCUCCUCUGUCUGCGUCGUUCUCCCGUCCUCCUUGGCUGAUUUGACUUUGCGUGUUUUCUGGCGUCGUGGACUGCCAAUCGCCGUAAAACGCAUCGCAU